GAUGAACGCUGGCGGCGUGCCUAAUACAUGCAAGCCGAGCGAACAGACGAGGAGCUUGCUCCUCUGACGUUAGCGGCGGACGGGUGAGUAACACGUGGAUAACCUACCUAUAAGACUGGGAUAACUUCGGGAAACCGGAGCUAAUACCGGAUAAUAUAUUGAACCGCAUGGUUCAAUAGUGAAAGACGGUUUUGCUGUCACUUAUAGAUGGAUCCGCGCCGCAUUAGCUAGUUGGUAAGGUAACGGCUUACCAAGGCAACGAUGCGUAGCCGACCUGAGAGGGUGAUCGGCCACACUGGAACGUAGACACGGUCCAGACUCCUACGGGAGGCAGCAGUAGGGAAUCUUCCGCAAUGGGCGAAAGCCUGACGGAGCAACGCCGCGUGAGUGAUGAAGGUCUUCGGAUCGUAAAACUCUGUUAUUAGGGAAGAACAAAUGUGUAAGUAACUAUGCACGUCUUGACGGUACCUAAUCAGAAAGCCACGGCUAACUACGUG
rnacentral:rRNA from 1 species